CCUACGGGGGUCUGCAGUGAGGAAUAUUGGUCAAUGGGCGUAAGCCUGAACCAGCCAAGUCGCGUGAGGGAUGAAGGUUCUAUGGAUCGUAAACCUCUUUUAUAAGGGAAUAAAGUGCGGGACGUGUCCCGUUUUGUAUGUACCUUAUGAAUAAGGAUCGGCUAACUCCGUGCCAGCAUCCGCGGUAAUACGGAGGAUCCGAGCGUUAUCCGGAUUUAUUGGGUUUAAGGGGUGCGUAGGUGGCCUUUUAAGUCAGCGGGGAAAGUCUGUGGCUCAACCAUGGAAUUGCCGUUGAAACUGGGAGUCUUGAGUAUGUUUGAGGCAGGCGGAAUGCGUGGUGUAGCGGUGAAAUGCUUAGAUAUCACGCAGAACCCCGAUUGCGAAGGCAGCCUGCCAAGCCAUGACUGACGCUGAUGCACGAAAGCGUGGGGAUCAAACAGGAUUAGAUACCCUUGUAGUC
rnacentral:rRNA from 1 species